rnacentral:lncRNA from 1 species
AGCUUCACCAGAGGCUGGAGCUGGAGUCUCGGCUCUGGAACAUCACGGAGGCUCUCAUCAUGGACAUCUGAGCUUCACCGGAGGCCGCAGCUGGCGUCUCGGCUCUGGAACAUCAAGGAAGUCUCUCAUCGUGGACAUUGGAGCUUCACCAGAGGCUGGAGCUGGGGUCUUGGCUCUAGACCAUCAAGGAGGCCUCUCAUCACGGACAUCAGAGCUUCACCGGAGGCUGGAGCUGGAGUCUCAGCUCUGGAACAUCAAGGAGGCCUCUCAUCAUGGACAUCUGAGCUUCACCAGUGGCUGGAGCUGGGAUCUUGGCUCUGGAAAAUCAAGGAGGCCUCUCAUCAUGGACAUCUGAGUUUCAUUGGAGGCUGGAGCUGGGAUCUCAGCUAUGGAACAUCAAGGAAGCCUCUCAUCAUGGACAUCAGAGCUUCACCGGAGGCUGCAGCUGGAGUCUCGGCUCUGGAACAUCAAGGAGGCCUCUCAUCAUGGACAUCAGAGCUUCACCGGAGGCUGGAGCUGCAGUCUCGGCUCUGGAACAUCAAGGAGGCCUCUCAUCAUGGACAUCAGAGCUUCACCGGAGACUGCAGGUGGAGUCUUGGCUCUGGAACAUCAAGGAGGCCUCUCAUCAUGGACAUCAGAGCUUCACCGGAGGCUGGAGCUGGAGUCUCGGCUCUGGAACAUCAAGGAGGCCUCUCAUCAUGGACAUCUGAGCUUCACCGGAGGCUGGAGCUGGGGUCUCGGCUCUAGAACAUCAAGCAGGCCUCUUACGAUGGACAGCUGGGCUUCACUGGAGGCUGGAGCUGGGGUCUUGGCUCUAGAACAUCAAGGAGGCCUCUCAUCAUGGCCAUGUGUGCUUCACUGGAGGCUGGAGCUGGGGUCUCGGCUCUGGAACAUCAAGGAGGGCUCUCAUCAUGGACAUCUGAGCUUCACCGGAGGCCGGAGCUGUGGUCUUGGCUCUGGGACUUUGAGAGAACCCUCAUUCUGGAUGUCCAAGUUUCAUCAAGGGCUGGAGCUGGGACCUCAGCUCUGGAACUUCAAGGGGGCCCUCAUUCUGGAUGCCUGAGCUUCAUGAGAGGCCCGGGGUCUGCCCACCAGAGUCAGGACUUUCCUGGACCCUCAGCACCAUCUUGGCUGAGCAUGGACUUAUCUGGGUGGGGCACACUCUGGAGGCCCUCUCCUCAUCUCACUGCCUCCUGGACCAUCACUCAGCACCAUAACAUCUCCAACUCCAUCAGGGCUGAGGUCAGGCCUCCUUGGCUGGACAUGGCCAUGGUCCUCAAGGUGGUUCUUUCUGUUCACAAAGUGGCCAUGCUCAGCCCCAUACAUUCAUGAGUGGACUCACCUGUAGUUCUCUUGAGGCAUUCCCCCGAGGGUGUGGAGGGGAGGAGGGGGAAAAGGAAGGAGAGAGGAGGAAGAGGAAGGAGAAAGGAGGAGGCAAAGGAAGGAGAAAGGAAGGAGAAAGGGGGAAGGACAGGGAAGAGGAGGAGGAGAUGGCGGUAGUGAUGGUGGUGGCUUUGGCGUUGACGUUGACGGUGACGGUGGUGGUGACAGCAGCUUUCCCUUCCCACUGGUUGCAUGUCCAGCUCAUCUGCUCCAGCAAAGCCAGGAGUGCCGACCCCAGGACUCCAGGUGGACGGAGGUCCGAAGUUCCUUUGUCCUUCCCUCUGGCCCAUUCAGCCCCAGCCACAUGCAGCUGGCCACAGCCUGACCUUCCUGAGCUGGGGGGUGGGGGUGCAAGGCCCGGUGCCCCCUCCCACGAGGCGGGGGCUGGGUCAGAGGCUCUACCUUGGCAGCCCCCUCAGGGCCCGCUCAGUAACCAUCUUGUGGGAUGAGUGUCGGCCCUGUCGCAGCCAGGCUGGACCCUCUCCACCAUGCCCUCACUAUCCGUUCAAGCAUGGCGAGUGCUGGGCCAGGCCCAGGCCAGGGUCAGGGAGCGUGUGAGGAGGGAGAGGAAGAGUUGCCGCCCUGGGGGCGGUGAGCUCAGCUCAGACUUCCUCUACCUUCCCACUGCACUCCUUUCUGGAAAGAACCCUGGCAUCCCACGACCGGUCAUAGGAGUAGGAGGGGGACCAGCCCGAGGUGGUUCACCGGAUGCAUCAACCUCCAGGGCCAGCUUUGCUUCGGGCAACCAUCCAUCCCACCAGCCUGCCCAUUGCAUAGGGGACAGGCGGCUUCCUGGGACAGGAGCUGGCUCCCCCGGCCCCACCCCCAGCCCUCACACUGCCUGAGGUGAGGGGAAGCCCCAGCAAGACAGGACACCCGACAUUCACCCUGCUCAUAUUAGUAGCACAUCCAUCACUGUGUUGGUUAAGGCAAGAAACACAUUUAUUGAGAGCACAAUCGGGUGUGCCAGGCCCCAGGUUGGGCCCUUCUGAACCACAUCACAUGCUCCUCACAACAACCCUGUGAGGUAGGUGUCCGAGGAGACUUCACAGAUGCGGACAACGAAGGCUCGGUGGCUCCCCCAAGUCUCAGGGCUCGUGAGGGGCAGGCAGGGGUCAAACUCGUGUGUCUGACCCUCAGAUCAGUGAAGUCAUCAGUCAGAAGACGGGUGGCUACCGGAGGGGAGGCGGGGAGGGUGUGCCCCUCCUCGCAGGGGGCGGCCCGGGUCCAGAGUCUUUGGGUCCAGCCUGUCCCGCAGGAACGUGUGCGGGGCGUCCCCGUGGCUGUGGAGGCUGAGAGAGACACAGGUGCACAUGAAGGCCCCCUGCUCCUGGUCGCACUGGCUGACAAGAGUCCUCAUGCAGACAGGCAGGCCGGGGGCAAGGAGAGGAGAGAGCCCAUCCGCUGAGGAGACGGGGCACUCGAGAGGCUGGGCAAUGCGGGGAGAAGUCCCCGGCUCCCCAGCAGCCAUGGGGCGAGGGGAGCACCCAGCCACCAGCUCCUGCCCAUCCGCCUAGCACCCCUCAACCUCUGGUGUCCCACCCUCAGCCCUGCCCUGGUCUCCCCGACCUGCAGAGACUUCUGGAAGCAUAACCCUAGUCCUGACACCCUCCUGCAGCAGUAACCUCUGAAGGGUCUCACCUCGCUAACCCAGAAUCCCAAACUCCUGGCCCUUGUGCAAAGCACCCCAGCUCGCCUGCCAAACCCACAACCAAGUCAACUCAGGUGUUUUCUAAAAUAUCAGCCUCCUCCUCCUCUGGGGGUUCCUAAAAUUCCCCCCUAGUCCCCCCACUUCGGCCUCAACCCCCUCCCCUCCAAGCCCGUUAAAUGUCUGCAUUUACAAGCAAACCCUCCCUCGCUGUCUCCCCGCAGCUGGUCCCGGGUGCUCCCCUGACGCCCUCCACCCCACCCAACAGCCACUUGGGCCACCACAGUUCCAGGGAGCACAGGGCUUCUGUGACCAGCGCCCACAGGCUGCAGGGCACGUGGCCAGCCCCAGGGCCCGCCGGGAGGGCAAGGGACAAGGGCACCUGUGUACCAGGUAACAAAGCACUCAUCCUCACAGAAACAAUCUCCCACUAUAACUGGGCCAGGUAGAUGUGACUAUUUCCAGGUUGCAGGUGAGCAAACUCGCCCAGGUCACGCACACGGAGGCAGCAGGGUGGCCUCGAACGCAGACCUUGAUUCUCGGGAGCCAGCCUAUGGGGUGUCGUGAGGCACGCCGCCGCUGGCAUGGUCAGCACUCACCACCAUCCCCUGAGUGGACUCUGUCAGUCAGCACCCAUUCUACAGGCGGGAAUACCGAGGCUCAGCUGGUUCAAGGAACCUGCCUGAGGCCACUAGGCUGGCAAAUGGUGACACCAGGACCUGAAGUCAAAUGGGCGAGACAUCCAGAGCCCCACCCCAACGUGCACCCACGCACUGUUCUUUGGGGGGGGGGGCAAGAAGGGAUGAAAAGGACCCAGGUCUGGGGUCCGAUCUCCCCUAGUUUGCUGGGUGCCCAUGGCUGCAUCUGAGACUCGGCCUGUGCCUCACAUUCAGUGCUGAUUGUCACGAACGGUGGGGACAAAGACUUUUCAGGUAGGAGACCUCCCCUCCCCAGGACAAGGGCUCCUGAGGCCCCAGCCGGCCUCAGAGAGGGCGUGGGUGUGACCAGAUGGCCCUCCGACUUGGGAAAUGUCAAAUGCCACCUUGGGAAAUGUCAAAUGCCACAUUAUCAGAAUCUCUUGGGCCACAACACAAACAUUUUAGCCCAAGCGAAGUUUUAUUCAGAUAUACAUAUUUCCAAAAACGUGCAGAAGACCCAUGUUUCUGCCAGGAGGGGCCCUCUUGGGGCUGCCCUCCGGCCCCGGCCCUGGGCUGAGGCCCUGCUAUGGGCAGAGGCCCUCAGGACUGGCCUGAGGAGGCUUUGCUGGGAAAAACACACCUUUCCUCUCAAAGAAACAUGUGUGGACUCCACGCAUACCUCAGCCAACCGUCAAUCCACCUCUGCACACCCACUAAAAACGCACCCUCAUCUGUCAGUGAGCAUCUAUUAGGCGCCUACUGUGCAGGAAGCAGGGCUGUAAAAGGUCCGAGGGGCACAGGGCUCAGAGUAGCGAUGGGGUUCAAGGGCAGCCUAGCCGUGACCUCACCGAGCCUCCACUUUCUCACCCGCCCUCAGGAGAUGGGGACCCAGCCCUGCCCAUGUCAAGGGGACACCGACGUGAAAAGACUGGGCACCUGAAAGAGUCCGUCAUCUGCGGGCCACACACAGGCUCGGCCUUCAAGGAGCCCAGGGCCUUCGGGGAGCAGACACCUGAACAUGGACUCACCGUCCCCUGGGAGGAGGGCCCUACUACCUGUCCUCCAGUGGGGCCCCUCGGGAGCACCGAAGUGAGGCCCCCUCUGCUUCAGACAAGUUCCCAGGACAUGGGAUGGCCACAGUGUAGAUACCAAAGGGGACAGCGAAAGGCCUCCUCAGCAAAGCCCAAGGGAGGGAGCAACAGGGAGGCUGUGCUGGUGCUCCAGGGGCAGGCAGGGCCGGCGCAAAGGGGUGAGGGCCGCUCAUCACAGUGACACUCAGGAUGCAGGCAGACAGGAGUGUGGGCCACAGAGAUGCCCAGCGCCUGCCCACAGAGGCUGUGAAAGCCAGAGGCAAAACGAGGAGGCCAGGGAGGGAAGGAGGGGGCAGAGCAGAUGCCCAGCUCAACCCCACCUCAGACAUAAGGAGGGGACGUUAGGGUAGAAUGCUGCUCCCCCACCCACAAGACAAGGGCCAGGAAAGGACUUCAGGGGUCUCGGGAAGAGACCCCGAUCCACCUGACCCUGUGGGAUGUCUCCCGAGACUUCUGCCAGAGCCAGGGCAAUACCUUACGGAAGGCGGCCACAUUCCGACAUUCACCUCGGACCCUGCUGAGCUCUGGAGGAGUGCGACCCCUCCUGACACUGUCAGGCUCACGGUGGGGACGGGGACAGCCUGGGACGGAUGGCAACAGCAACUGGGAGGGCUUGUUGGGUGGGGUCGAAACAACACCGGCUUUCCAUGCAAGACCGUUGAGUCCCCGCUCUGACACCCGCUCUGACCCCCGCUGUCCCUGAUUCUCAGCCUGCAGGUCUCUAACGCGGGCUCCCACGCCACGGAGCAGGGAGCCCAGGGGGAGAGUGUCAUCAGCCUCGCACUGGGUUCCAGGCCCACGGGCGGGGCAGAAGGCUAUUCCUUCAGCCACAGCCAGGGAAAGAAGGAAGAGGGGUGAGAGGAAACUAGGGGCGCAGGCCUCCCUCCUACAGGGCAGAAGAAAGAGUUUUAGUCCCUGGGGUGUUACCCAGAAGCCCCUCCUCAGGCUCUCUCAACGGCCCCGCCUUCCGCCCCGACAAACCACACCCGGGCCUCUACAGACGUUUGCAGAAACGCCUCCAAGCAGACAGGGCACCAACAGGUACGGCAAACCCAAGGCAGUCACCCCAGCCGCUUCAAACUGCACAUGUGAGCCAGCAGCCCAGGGAGGGGAGGGAAGGCUCCCAGGAGAAAGAGCCAUCACUCAUUAGUCAAACCAGCGUUCACCCUGGGCCCGCAUCGCUAAACACUGUAGACCACUCAGCGUCUGUCUUACACGGUCCAGUGACCGUUGGAAAUACAAUCUUAGCAUAAGAUUACAUGCUGACUUUUUAUUCUCUUAGAGACAACCCCUGACAUCUGACCAUUCUCAAUAAGAGCCAGCAUUUCAUUAGCAAUUUAAAGUUUACCCAGCCCGUCACCCUCACAACAACCCUGUGAGGUGAGCUUUCUGGUGACCUUCAGCUUAGAGAAAAAAAGACUGAGGGUCAGAGAGGAGAAGUGACUUGCCCAACACCGCACAGUUAGUCAAGUGGCCCCAGGGUCUGCCGGAUUCUAAUUUCUAACACAAAAAACUGACUCGUUAAUCAGACAGCUCAAGUUGCACCGCAUGACACCCAAAACAAGAAUCCUGGUUUUCAAACAACAAACGUCAUACAAAAGUCCAUAAGAUACAAUACAACGAUUGAUAACAGGUUCAUCAGGAGCAAAAUACAAUCUCUUAGUAAAGAUCAUAAACAUCCACCGCCGCAUUUGGUUACAGUUUCAUUAUUUGACCAUCCACAAGUCUAUCCAUUCAACAAAAGUGGAAGGCAAGCCCUGCCACUGGCCUGGGACUGUGUCAGGCACCCAGGCUGCAGGCAUCAGAGCCCCGAUGUUGUUAGUUGGGGAGGGGCUGUGCAGUGCCUUUGAUGACUGGUGCCUAAGAUUUGGGGGGAAGACACUGCUAGGGGGUAUCUCUUGUGGAGGGACGUGCCUAAGUGCUGCCUACAGGCCAGACCCAGGUGCCUCCAACCUUUCACAAAGGUGAUCAUGAACGCGUACCCCAGGGGGUCCAGGGGCGCUGCCCAAAGAGAACUCAUGCCCCAGCAUGAAGGUUCAUGCCAAAAUUACUCCUCUCUAACCUUACACUGUCAUACAAAUUUAGCAUUCUGUCCCCCAAGAUCCCCCUGCACGUUUGGCAAAAUGAUUUCCCACCAACCUGCCCAAAUCAGGCUGCCCCUCCUGGCCUUUCAUCCUGCCCCCAGCACUCCCCCAGGGGCACGCGCCCGCCUUUCCAACAUCACAGUUCAAAAUCCUGGUUACAUGAUCCUCACAACAGCCCUGCGAGGUGGGUGCUAUGGUCCCCCCACAAGACAGACUCAAGCUGUCGCCGCAAGUUCAAACCACACACGUUUGUCCAACUCCAGGGUCCUGACUUUAUCCACCACACUCACUCUCCAGUGUGAUGAAUAAAAUGUGGAGCCCCCAAGACUACGCCCUGUCCCACGCAGGCAGCAGUGAGCUAAACGAGGGCCCUGCCUGGCCCGGGACCCACAUGGAUGCUCAGGGCUGCCUCCAGAGGUUACAAAGUGCCAUGCGCCUCGAACACCACGGUCUGUCAGUGGAUUAUUCUGUGCAGACCCCCACACCAGGCAUGAUCUUUGUCAUCCACAAGGGCAAUCAUCUCCCCCAAUUUUCUCUAAGUAGAGCCCAGCAUUAACUAAUCUCGAAAGGGACAGGAAUGGCUCUAAGACCGCCUCCAAGCAAGAUCAGGGCGUUCUAACGACUUGAAAGCCUGCUCUCGGCCAGAAUCCGCUGUCAUCUCAUACCUCCCAGCUCUCAUUCUGGCCUCUUGAGGAUAUGGGCUAUGAUUUCUGAGCACCCAGGAACACAGUUUGCUGAUUACUAAUCAACCUAGUUUUCUAAGGAACAAAGUGAGAGAGGGCAAUCAAACUUGGAACAGAAUUCGCAUCUAGAAGUUGCAGUUGAAUCAAGGGUCUUGCCUUGUUCCUGACACACAAACAUGGCCGCUUGCAAACAUGCUCAUCUUUUCUUUGAAAAGGAGAUGUCGGAACGAGUCCUUGUGAGCCAGCUCUAGGAUAGCACUAGUUGAUUUCGAGAAAUGUUGACUGUGAGUGAACGAAUGAAGGGAUGAAGGGGUGAACGGAUGAGUUACAACCACUGCCAUCUGGUGGAGGAAGCGGACAGGCCGAAGGCAAAGCUCAUGGCAGGGACCAUGCACCAGGCAGGGUGGCCUGGGGGGACAUCUCCGCUCACGGGUGGGGGGGUUGCUCUCGGACCCUGGCCUGGAUCCGUUGGGGUGCGUGAUGCAUGGGAAAGCGCCAUGGGGAGGAAGCUAUGUGGGUGACGGUGGCAGAUGAGAUCCAGCUGGGACGUGCUCAGAGCAGUGACCCCGGAGGAGAAAGCUACAAAUAAGGGCGUUCGCCUCAUGACCACAGCCCAUGGCGCUACACAGCCCGCCCAAGAUGGAAGGGUUUGCUUUCAGGAAAAGGAGAGGCCAAACGCACCAGGUCAAGAAAUGGAGGCCAAAGGCAAGGAUGGAUGGAUGGCUUAAAUUAAUGCUGGACAUCAUUGCUGGCCUCCCAAGCUUCGAUGCUGGGGUCAACACGUGGGUGAGUAACUCUGAUGCAGGCAAACAGCACUCAGUGCUAUAGUAGAGGGGUCAGCGGCAAGCAGCAGCCCUCUGCUGAGAGAGGAGGGUGUUCUAGAAAGCAGGGGCUAGUCCUCCAUGGGUAAUGCACCCUCCCAAAUGGCCAUGAUGACCCUCGUGCCCUGCCAGCUUUGGAGUGGGGCAUGAGGGGAAGUCUGAGAACAGCAUGGGGUGCAUUCUGCUCCUGGGAUCGCAGAAUUUAAUUGGCCCAGCUGAAAAAAACCGAAGGAGGAUUCUGCAUCAGUCCUGAUCCAACAUGUCCCAUUAAUCAAUGAGACCCCAAAGACCACCACGGAGGCCUCGGGGACAUUUGCUCACACAUCACAGGAUACCGGGAACACAAAGGGCAGCAGAUCGCCUCACCUGGUUGCCCUAACAGGUGAUAAAUGGUGGCGCAUGGUUCUGGCUUCCUCAAGGUGCAAUGCGGGGGUCGGGGGGGGGUGGGGAGUGACAGGGCUGGUGGGAAGUCCACUAGCUAACUAUAAAAGACGCUGGGCACGGCUGUCCAGACCUUGGCAGGCCAAAGAGAUAUUCCUGUCCCACAAGAGUUACAGAGGGUGAGGUUAGAGUUUAUAAAUCAUCAAUACACAAGCCCCGCCAAGGGAUGGGACCUUAAAAUGUCACUGGUAUGCCAAAUGGAAGAUGUCAUCCCCACCAACCCACUUCCCAGGGAGAAGCAAGGCUGUCUGAGCCAAUGCCACACCCACUAUUUGAAUCUCCUUAAAACUACCCUCAUCAAGUGUCUGCCUGGCCUGCUCUUUGAAUGCCUCCAAUGACGGAGGGCUCACUACAUCCCAAGGAAACCCAUUCCAUCCUUGACCACUCUCAUCAGAAAGCCAUGACCCGAUGGACUUGGACAAACAGUUCACAGAAAAUAGAAUACAAUUUGUUAACAAACAUAUGUGAGAAAUUUCAACCUUCAUUAGUAAUCAAAGCAAUGCAAGUUAAAAUGACACAAAAAUACUUUUUUAACAGAGAUAAACUAGCCAUAUCUUAACAAAAUGCUAAUACAUUGCUGGACAUUGUAAAAUGCUGAAAGCCUUCUGAAAUUAGUCAAUAUUCAUACAGGAAUCACUGGCCUUUCACUCAAGAAGCUCAACCCUAAUGCAUUCCUUCAUUCACCAAUCCAUUUAUUCAUCCAUCCUUCCAGCCUUCCAUCCACUCAUCCAUCAGCCAACCAGUGACCCACUCACUCACAUCUUCAUCCAUCCUUCCAUCCACGCACACAUCAGCCAACCACUGACCCACUCACAUCUUCAUCCAUCCUUCCAUCCACUCACCCAGCAAGCAUCUAUUAACAUCUACAACAUGUUGGGCAUUAGAGAUACAAAGAUCAAUUCAACAGGCUCCUUGCCCUUAAGGGGCUCACAGUCUAGCAGGAGAAACUGACACGCCGUGAAGCAAUGAUCACUUCUGGGUGCAGGAAAGUAAUUUGUAAGAAGGAGAAAAAGUGGGUGUGCUAAGCCAUUAGCUGUGGCAUAAUUUAUAAGAUUAAAAAGAUGAGUUAUGCAUAACAAUAGCAGGUUGGUGUUGCAAAUGAUGGCAGAGCCACUCAAUGGGACACAACGCAGCCAGUGAGAUGAUGACUAUGGAAGAAAGAAAAACGCUGACAACAGAGCAGUAAAUGGAAAAGGCAAGACGCAAAAAAGUGCAUGUGGUGCAGAAUGGCAAUUAGGUUCAAGAAAUGGAUGCUCACACACACAAAAAAUAGAUGUCCACUGAAAAAUCAGUGUGCCCACAGACAAGGAUUUGAAGAGGUGAAAGAUGGGUGACAUGUCAGGGUGAUGGGUGACCUCCUGCUCUAGGGCACGUGCCAUCCACACCAUUUACAUUAAGAAAACAAGGGGGCCCUUGGCCCAUCGGCCCCAGAGACCCAGGCUCUGUCCUCCACCCUCUGGAAGGUCAGUCCAGAGGCCAACCUUCCAGAGGAGGGAGUUUGGAGUCAAGGGGAAUCCAAGGAGAUCUGUAGCUCCUGGUGUCACCAGGGGAAGGAUUUGUGCUUGGGGUGCAUGCAAAGGUCAAAGUCAAGAGACAAAAUUUGUCCUUGUUUUGAAAAAUUAAAAGAAAGAAACCCACACUUAAGAUAGGCCCUGAGCAGAGUGGAGCACUGAGACCCCUACACAGACCUCGCGGGUGGGGCACAGGCAGAACCAGACUGGGGGGGGCCUGGCUUCUAACCCUGGCUUCUGCGGCCAUCAGGAACUCUGUCCUGAAUCUCAGCAUCCCAGAAAUGGAGACCCCUAGAACGUCAGAUCCCAGACUCUUCAGAGCCAAAGACUCUGAGAGCCCUGAGUGGACAGCCUCAUACCCUCGGUGUUCGCAAGAACACAGAACUCAUCUGACCCCAACUCACCCACCCAUCAGGGCACCGGUCGGUCUCCCUGGAGCUUCUCCCACUGGCCCAUUUCCAGCCAUUGUGACCCGUCGACAGCCCCUCAAACGUUGGGAGCAGGCCCCCCUUGGUUUGCUCCUGUUCCUCCAGAUUUCCUCCAGGCACAUGUGGCUGGGCCUCCCUCCAUUAUAUACCCAAUGUUAAGUCUCCCUGAGCCCCAGGGGACCUCGUAACCAACCACAGAGGGUUCUUAGGAAACACCCUCCCAGUCUCUUUCUGCCCCAGGCCCCUCCCGCCCCCACCCUCGUCCACACAGUGACACCGGGGAUGGUUGGGGGGGGGGCUCUUCAGGGACCCCGUGUUAGCAGGCAUCCCCACGGGUAAUAAGUACACUCCCAGGCUUCCGGCUGGCCAAGGCAGAGUGCGAAGCCCCCAGACUCCAAAAGAAGAGAAGAGCAGAGCCCUGCCGCCCCCAGCACCACAUCGGGCCCAUGUGACCUUGCUCACAUGGCCCAGACACGUGGUGCUGGAGGCACGGAAGGGCGGCUCCUGACACGUGAACUCCGUGUCCUCCAUCUUCUAAAUGCCGUUUUCUGGUUCGGGGCCCACGCUAGAAGCAUGGGAGUCACUCCUGAUGCCCUCUCCCUCCCUCCUCGAAUCCUGUCUGCAAACCUAUAGCUUUGAUGCCUGUGGCCCCCACUUCACGCCCUCAGCAUGCACCUUCAGCAUCGCUGGUGGGGACCAGAGCGACUGCCUCACCUUGCUGCCUGUGCCCUCGACCCUCCCCGACACUCCCUGUUCCCACCCAGGGUCCAACGUCACUCCAAGUGCAACCCCCCCUUCCCCCGGGCCACAUAGUGUCCCCACCUCCCACCUGCCCACCAGAGAGGUUAGCCCCACCCCCACCCAACUUCCCUCGGCUCCACGUGCUCCCAGCCACGGAUCCUGGGUCCAGCCAAACUGUCUCCUCCUGCUCAGGGCACUUGCUAAGAAUCCAGUUUUUUAUUUAAUGUCCCACACAGGAAUUCAGAAGUUGAGUGGAAAUUUGGUCCUCGUUUUUACAGACAAACACAGGCAUACCACACACAACUGCACAAAUCCUGUCCACUACAGAGAAGAGAGACUGGACAGAAGAACCAGGGAGUCCGUGGGGUCCAAAACGCCAGUACAAACGCUCCCCAGACCCGCCCGCAGCCCUGGGAGGGCAGGUCAGGAGAGAGGACAAUUCAACACACGGGCAGACGCGCCUGCCACCGAAAUACACAGUACAUCGGAACACAGGCGAGGAGACAGGAGGCCUUGAAACGGGCUCUGGGGAGGCCAUGUCAAGGGGGCUGGGUCCCGAGACCACUUCUGCAAACCCGGGCUGAGGUGCCCCUGCCCCGGGCCCCCCAAGCUGUGAAGGGCAGGCGGCCGCCCUGUAGAAGACCCGGCUGGGUGGGGGGCGCCCGGGCACAUUUCAGAAAGUUGCAGGAACAAGGUUUCCGGUGAUGUGCCUCUGGGCGCCUGGGUCACUGGGCUCCUGGGUCAUCUUUCUCAGGUCCUCCCAGCCACUUUCUGGCCUGCCGGCCUUCCUCCCGCAAGGCCCCUGGAUGGGAGUGGCACCACACCCAGGAUAGCGCAGCGGGCGGGGUCCACCCGCCACCCAGGGCCUCCUGCUCCCUUGCCCUCUGCUGCCCCCUGGCGGGAAAAGCCUCCCUUGCAGGUGACCCACGCCCAGGGAGGGGCCAAGACACCCACCUGGCCCAACACCCCUUGUCCAUGCAACCUUCUGCAGAGCCCAGGGCCGGAGCUCGUCCACCUGUCCAGGGCUAUAGAUAGGGCACUGCCAAGAGGCAGGAGACCACUUGCCCCAUGACCAGUCCAAGCGGGGAGCUGAUGCCAUUCCGGGUUUGUGGGUGGGGAAACUGAGCAUGAGAGAGCAAGUGAUGCGGUCCAAACAGCCAGGAGGUGACAAUGGCGCUCCAAGGCCAGGGUCUUCCUAAACCAGCUUCUCCCUGCCAGGUAAUGUGUGUGUAACAAGCACACAAGACGACAAGAGCCGUCCCUUCCGGUACCCACUUCCUUCAGCUGGCUAGAACACAGGGACCACAAAACAGGAAGGAAGACCCCUGCUUCCCUCUCUUCCUUCCAAUCAUCCAGCCCUCCUUCCUUCCUUCCUUCCUUCCUUCCUUCUUAUCUUCCUUCUUCCUUCCUCCUUCCCUCCUCCUUCUCUCCCUCUCUUCCUUCCAGUCAUCCAUCCAUUUCUUCCUGUCACUCACCCAUUCAUUCGCUUAGAUUUGACUCCUUUACUGACGCACUUCCGCUCAGCUUUAAACCAAUCACAGCCCUUGGUUCAUGAAGAUCUCCCUUCACAAGUCCUAUUUAUUCUUUCGUGUAUUCUUUUUAUUUCUUCCCAGAUUUCAUCUUUCUCCCUUUCUCUCAUUCUUCUUUACAUUCUCUCAUUCUUACAUCUCAGGCUCCCAGAAGGAUGAAUCCGGAUUAGCACAUGCGACAUCCUCGUCCUUCAUCCGUGCAGCUCCAUCUCUCAUUCAUUCAUUCACUCACUCAUUUGUCCUUUCUUUCUUAUUUUGGGUAUUCUUUCACUUUUUAGUCUCCUGCGAAAUCAUUAUAUUAGCCAAAACCCCACGUGCCCAAUAAACAUCACUGGCCCGUUAUUUAUUUGCAGUUAGAAUCUUUCUUCCCUGCGUUUAGUCACCUUUUACACAUCAGGAUUUAUUCUUUUAUUUAUGGACCUCAAUUGCAUAUAUUUUAUUACAGUGUUGGAAGAUGCAGCCUUGUCUUACCGGGCCGGGUAUUUCUUCUGUUUUUCAUUUACUCUUUGAAAGGUGUAUUCACCUAUUUCAGGAGUAUGUAUGUCAACUAAUGAUAAUCGCUGUUCAGAAGACCUCUGUUAACUACCCAUUCAUCACUUUGGGUGUUUGUUAUCUUUCCUUUUUCCGUUUUUGCUUCUUUUUAUUCUCUCCAUUUGCCCUUGCCCAUGGACUGGAUGACCUCAUCCAUCUUUCCAAUUCACGACGACCUCAUUCCCAACCCUAAAUUCCUGCUCUCAGACACGCCCGGGGUUGGUCACCUCUUCAUUGGGUGGGGUUUCUUCCCCUUUCUCUUUCACUUAGCUUCAGCCUGCCUUUCUUCAUCUCUUUCUCUAACUCUGUGAUGCUUUUUUUCUUGCAGCACUUCACAUGCACGGACCUCAGGUGCCUGGAGUGAGAUGACUGACAAUCCCAUGAGCCACCCCCUCCUGGCUGUUCCAGGCAUUUCCAUUUCUAAUUCAGUCAUUCAUGUGUCCAUUCAUUCUUUCUGUCACCCUUUUAUUUCAGUAUUUAUUCUUUUAUUUAUGGACCUCAGGUGCACAGAACUGGAUUAACCCUAAUCUGUGGUUGCCGGAGCCUCCUCAACACCAGUCCAUGCGGGGCCCCCUUUUGUUCGUUAAUUUCGUGUACUGGUGAUUGAUUAAGGAUUUAUGUAACUCUCUCAAGAGCCCAGUUUUGAGCUCAUCAUAAUUCUUGGCUCAUGAUGCCUUCUCGUCUUUUGCUAGUAGCACGCACGCUCUCUCUCUCUCUCUCUCUCUCGUAUAUUCAUGUAUUUAUUUAUCCAUUCAAUAUGUUUUCAUUGCUUAUGUCCACCUUGUCAUCAUUUUCUGUGUCCCCUCCCUCCUUGCUGUCUCUUUUUUGCAUUCUUUUAUUCUUACAAGCCUCAAGUGCAGAAGAGAAUUAAUUAAAAUCACUGUUUCUCAUUCAUUCAUUCACACAGCCAUCCUCUAUUCUUUCUUUUAGGUAUGUGGUUUUUUUACUGAUGAACCUUAGCUCUUACUAUUUAUUGCAUGUAAUGAAUAAUAUUGUUCAUUAUAUUUAAAUACUUAUCCAGUGUGGGCCUUUUCUUCUGCAUGUCUAUUUUAAUUUCUUUUCCUACAUCUUUCUUUCUCCCGGUCUUUUCUUCAACAUUUCAAACUCCUUUUCUUGUGUUUGCAUGGAACCCAUGCAUUUACUCUUUCAGCCUUUUAUUGAUGGUAUUGUUUUUAUUAUUUAUAAACUUCAAGGCCACAGAUUUUAAUGAAUAUGGGUUAUCGGUGCUAAACCAGUCCCCUCUCAUACACUUGUCUGACCUAUUAUUUAUUGUCUUUUUUAUUUCUCUUUUUUUAUUUUGAGUCUUUCCCCAUCUUAAUUGUUUUUUCCUACCAGUCUUUCAACCUUUCUUUCUUUCUUUCUGGCUUUCAUUCUUUUGGAGGUCAGGCACCCGGGAUCUGAUGAACCCUGACCCCAUCUGCAACACCCUCCUCGUCAGUCAAUGCAACUCUUUUUACUCAUUCAUUCCUUCAUUCAGGCAUUCAUGCAUCCAUUCAGUCUUUCUUUCUAUUUAAAUAAUUAUUUUUACACUUCUAGCUGGCAGGCAGGUGCACCUAAUUGGAUACAUGAUAAUCUAUAGUCAAUGGGUCCUCCCCUCCCUGGCCCCUCUGAGGUCCGCCAUUCCAUAGUUCAGCUCUGAACUGUGUCCUGGUUGGGCGGGUGGUCACCCAUCUCAGAGGCACAGAUGUGAAUUAAUCAGUGUGCCUGGUUCAUGCUCCCACCCCUCCUCAUUCCGAGAACAGCUCUCUCUUAUACUGUAUUUAUCUGUUUGUUUCUCAAUAUAUUACCUUUCUUCUUCUUUCCAAUUCUCAUUGUUUUUCUCUCCCACUCUCUCACUCUUUCUUUGCUGCAUCCUUUCAUUCUUUGGAGCCCAGUGGCCAUGGACUGAUGAAUCCUAAUGCCACUUGCCAACACCCACCCCUGGCCCCUGCAGCGCCAUGCCUCAUUCAUUCCUUCCUUCCUUCCUACUAUUCUUCCUGCCUGUUUUCUUUCUUCUAAUUAGGUAUCUACUCCUCUAUUAAUGGAACUGGGUGCUCAGAUUUUGACCAGUUACGACCCAGUUUGUGAGGGUCCCUUACGAGCAGUCCUAGCCUCACCCUCCCCGCAGAACCACCCAUCUAUCCAUUCAGUCCUCACCCCCUUUUUAUCAUUCCUUUCUCUCUUUUGUUACAGCUUUCCACAUCUCCUCCUUUCUCAGUGCUUCCUUCAUUCUCCUGGAGCUUCGGUGCCCAGAUGGGAUUAAUUACAAGCCUCCCAGCAUGCUCAUCAGGAGCGCCUGCGGGCCAGGCUCCUCCCCGUUACUCAUCCUGGCUUUGUCACUUUAGAUUCUCAUUAUGUGUUUAUUUAGAUACUUAUUAUUUAUUGAUAGUUCUGUGAUUUUGAGAAUUGGACUAACCAUAUCCUUGACCCAUGACAGUCUUUUACCACCACUGCUACCGUCACUUCCUUUUAUGUAUUUAUUUAUUCACUCAUGAAUGUAUUUCUAGACAACCUUUGUUACUGUUUCUCCCAUAUUUCUCAAUUUUUAUUUAGAUAUUUUAUUCUCUUUCUUUCAUCCUUUCACGUAACAGACUUCAGCUCAUGGCGUGCUCCCAUCUAGGUCCAGGUAUUUCCACUGCUCGCUCACCCAUCCCUUUUAUUUUUUUUUUUUUUUUGGCUUUCUUUCAUUUCAGUAUUUAUUUAUUAACGUGUGCCCAGAGUUAGAAAACUUUUGGUUAAAGUUAACUCUCAUCUUUGGUCCCCUGGUCCUCUUUCGUUUUUACCUCCUUUGAAUUUUUUCUGUGUUUAUUUUUCUAUGCCAGGAGCACGUGUUUGGGUCAGUCCUAAUGCUUAGCUGGUAAUGAUCCAGCAUGGCCUUCCUUAUAUAUUUACUUAUCUCCUAAUUUUAAAAAAGUCAUCUUUGGGCUGGCCCCGUGGCUGAGUGGUUGGGUUCACACGCUCUGUUUCGGCGGCCCAGGGUUUCACCGGUUCGAAUCCUGGGCGCGGACAUGGCACCACUCAUCAAGCCAUGCUGGGGCAGCAUCCCACGUGCCACAACUAGAAGGACCCACAACUAAAAAAAAUAUACAACUAUGUACCGGGGGGCUUUGAGAGAAAAAGGAAAAAUUUUUAAAAGAAAUCUUAAGAGAGUCAUCUUUCUUCUUUCUAUUUAUGGUUUUGCUUCUUGCCUCCCCCUUUCAGUCACUCGUCCCCUCUCUCUGGCAUCUUUUCAUUUCAGUGUGCCUUUUAAUCUCAUCCUCACCAUUGGUUUGUGGAUUUUUCACAGUUACUUCCUCUUUAUUUUUUUAAUUUUCACUUUUUUGACACACAAAAAGCUGUACAUAAUUAAUGCAGACAACUUGAUGAGUCUGAAUGUAAGUUUACACUGUGAAACCGUCACCACAAUCCACGUCACAAACUCAUCCAUCGCCUCCACAAGUUUCUCCCCCUCUCUUCUCUUAUUAUCAUCACCAUCUUUUAUGAUAGGAUCACUUAACAUAGAUCUUAACAUAAGAUCUGCUAACAUAAGAUCUGCCCUCUUAGCAGACUAAGUAUACAGUACACUAUCGUCACCAUGGGUUUAGGCAUACUUCUUAUUCUUUCUUUUACUUAGGUUUUAUUCUUUUAUUGACAAACUUUAAGUGCUAUAUACUUGAAUAACACGUUCCUUGGUCCAUGAUGAUCUGAUAUUGCUUCCUGUGUGGCCCUAUUUACAUACUGAUUCCAUAUUUUAUUGAUUUAUAUGUUGAUCUCCUAUAUACCAAAUUGGCUCCUGUUCAGUGUACACUCUCAUCCGUGCUUGCUUACUUCUUUACCUAUUUAUUUAUCCAUUCCUCCAUGCUUUCAUUCAUUCAUUCAUUCAUUCACUAUGUGAACCGUGCAACAGAUACCAGCAAAAUGACCUCCUGCCAAGAAAAAUAGAACAUUCACAAUAGCUUAGACCCUCCUGCUUCCUCUCACUGCGUUAACCACCAAGGUGUGCACAACCCACAGUCUUUAAACACAUACACGUGACAGAUGCAGGCACAGACAACACAAGGAUGCUGGGGGUCCUGCCUUAGAACACAAGCCCCACUUAGAACAUAGUGAGCUCGGCUCGCCGGGCACCCACCUCCCCACAAGCGGACCACUGACCAGUGUUCUCCAGUCCCUCCCACAAGGCUCGCCUGGCGGUGUGCUCCAGGUGGCAGCUCCCUACCUUCAGGGACGAGACCACAGAUGUGCUGCCCACACCCCAGAAACUUACGAUUGGAAAGCUGGACAGUGCUGGGAUCACGCGUCCGAGGUCCCUUCCCACGGAGGAUUCCGAACGACGGCUUCGGCUGGAAUGAGAAAGCACUGGGUCACUGAAAUAGAACCUCCCCCAAACGAAGCAGGGACUCCCCAACUUUCAGCAAGUGUGGAAUUGGCGAAACCAAGGGUUUUUCUUCUCAACACACUGGCUCACGCAGUCACUCACCUGCCAAGCUCCCCGCCCCAGCUUGAGCUACAGGUGGAGUGGCCGGGGGCAGGUGCAGAGGCAUCGAACGUGGGUCCCCACUCAAGAGUUUAGGGUUGGUGCUCCCCAUGAGGCUAAGUGCUGUUUCAUGGAACCCAAAGGUUUAGGGCCCCAGCACAAGUGAGAGCUGAGCUGGACACCAAAGGGUGGGCAGAUGGCUCCCUAGAAGGGCAUUCCACCAUGAAGGAAGGGCACUGUGAGGCACAGCCAGGCCAGCAUUCACAAGUGCUCAGGGAGAAGCUAGUGGUGCGAUGUGGUGCAAGCGUGGGCCUGCUGGGCAAUUGGCCGCAGCUGAGACUAGAGAAGAGGGCUGCAGGCCACGCUAAUGCUUGUGGGGUCUUUCACACGCCGUGUCCUGAAGCCACAGCACACGUUUCAUCAGAUGGAAGAGAACGGUGCCUGAGCCGACAUCUUCACUUCAAUAAUUAUGUACAAAUUUUAAUCAGCACCAUGAAAAGCCGUGACCAGGCGCACCAAGCUUUUAACUUCAAGUAUCUGCCUUCAAAUCUAGAAAAACUGAGGUGAGUAAUAGUAGACACAUGUCACUACAAAUCCGUCAAAACCCACAGACUGUGCAACACAGAGUGACCCCUACUGACAUGAAUGAUGGACUUCAUCUCAUGGUGAAUCAAGACUGGCUCAUCAAUUGUACAAAGGUGCCACACUAAUGCUAGACGUGAACGACAAAGGAAUGGGGUGGCGGGACAUGGGAAUUCUCUGUACUUGCCACUGACUUUCUCUGUAAACCUAGAACUACUCAGAAAAAAAAAAAAAGCCUGUUCAUUGAAAAAAUAUUUUUAAAAAAUGAGUUGAUUUUAAACAAAUGUACAGUUUGACCAUUUUUUUGAACACAUGUAAGUAGGUGUGGCCAAAAGGCAGUCUGCAGAUGCGGAGGUGUGAACAGCACUGUAAGGUGGUGAGGGGCGGAGUCAGAGACCUGGGCAAGAAUGGGAGGGCACGGGCUGCCCCCGGGCCUCCAGGGAACGCCAAGGAGGGAAGAGGCCCGCUCCAAACCCCCGCCCUGUUCUAAGCCACUGGGAUCCUGACACCACCUCUGCCCCUCGGUCCCCAGUCGAGUCACUCACCGGGGCGCCCAAGACCCGGCCAGGGCACACCUCCUGCUUCCAAAUCCUAAGACUUCCUUCCCUGGCCUUGAGCUUCCCAAAUACCAUUUUCCCCUAAUUGGUUGACUUUAUAAUCAAGAAACAAAAAGUCUGUAAAAAAUAAGUGUUCAUUAAGCAGUUAACAGCUCCUGGGGGACUAAGGGAUCUCUCUGGUUAUCUAAAAGCUCUGAGAUGCCCAUUUCGUUCUGGAUACCAUCCGAGAUAGUUUCCAGCCCUCCCCGGAGCCCGGGAGUGCCUGGCAUGGCCCUCUCAUCAUCACCACGGUCCUAAGGUGACAAGGGGACUCUAGACCCUGAACAACGCAGCAAGACCACAGGCUCCGCCACUUCCUGAGGGAAUAAGGGCUGGGAAAGUACUUUGGGGUGUCGUUCUGCUUUGGUUCUCUUCAUUGUUUUAACGGGACUGGGGAAAUCAGCUCGGGGCAUCUGGGGUUUGCCUGCUUCUGCCCCAGGGGCGCCAUGAAGCCCUGGAGUGCCUGAUUGUCCCUGAUGAACUUUUGUGCAGACCACAGGCUGCUCUGGGAAGACACAGCCCGGGCAAAGUCGUGCCUGGGUUUCCACGCUGCGUGCACGAGCCCUGGGUUGGCCGGGAUGUAUUAAGAACACAGUGCCGGGCUGGAAUCGGAACAGAUCUCAGCAAACCUGCAGAGAUGAGUCACUGUCUGGAACCCAAGGAAAACCUGACAAGGCCUCCUUACAGGGUCCAGAGGAACAACGGCAAAGACCUCAUAAGCGCGUGCACUGAGCUCAUGAUCCACGUAGGAAGCGCUGGUGGGCACCCCAAAAACAUCCUCCACCGCCUACAAGAAUAGAAAAUUCUAACUCUGCAUCUCAAGAUUUCAAAAGUUUCUCUUUUCUGGAGGAAAACAGGGCCUAAAUGAUCUGGCCUGUCUUCGGUACAAAUAACUUAGGGAUGUUUGGAAAAACGUAAAAGGAUUAUUUUUAAUAAAAUGGUGAUUUCCAGAAAUAGAGCCUGUAGUUUACAGAAGUAAUCAGCCUCAGAUCUCGAGCUUCCUACCUGUUGAGCGAAGACCACCCUCUUACAAAUUCCCCCCCACAAAUGCAAGCUCUUUGCGCAGCUAAUCUCCUGUACCUUUGUGAAGGCCGGGGCCCUGGACAUUACAGGGCCAUUUAUGAAAAUGGGAGAGGUAAUUGGGACAUCUUUUGAAAUCAGGUCCCCUCCGCCUUGCCAGCCCCACCAGCCCUCUAAUUUCAGUUGGCCGGGCUGUGGAGGAUGUUUACAUAUGCUUCUUCCUGGAAUUUCACUCUUUGCUUCAGGAGUGGGCAAUUAGAGAGAAUUAGGGCCUAUUUGGCGUAUGUUUACCGUUAAUGGAGAGAGUGGCAGAGGCAGCCCCAGGAAAGGCAGGCUGCUGGUCUAAUUGAAGCUGGCAAUUUCUCGAUUCCUCAUUUCAGCUCGCAGGUAUUGUAGCAACCAAGGUCAGAAAACAAAGGCUGCAGCCCACCGUGGUAACAGCCGGGUGCAGGCCUGACCGAGGGUUUUGUGAGCUAUUUAUUCCCGCACACUGAAGCACAAAGAGAGAGCUCGAGAUGUUUUCAAAGCCGGGGCUGCACCGGGCAGCCAGCACAGGCCUGGUUACUGAUCACUCUUCCAGAAGCUGCCACCCUGACGGCUCCUGUAGGAAAUUCUCAGCCGAGCAGGCCACGGCGCCAACUGAGGUGUUGCCCAGGGUCUCGUGACCAAAAGGCACGGGGUGAAGCCACCAGGGAUGGUGCGGCCAGCCACACCCUCCUGGGACUGCGGCCACGGGCCAGUCUCAUUACACAGUGAACGCUCCACAGCCCAGAAAGGUUUUCCAGGCCUGGCCGGCGGCCCGCCUCAUUAAAAGAAUACCCCAUAAAACACGAUCCUUGCCCCACCGCACGCAGCAGCCCCUUGGCGCUCACUCGGGGCAUGAGCGCCUGUAGGAUCUGUGUUCAGAAAAAGCUAGCCAUGGGGACUGGCUAAUGACUUCGAGCCCAGCGCCCGUGCCGGUCAAGCAGGAGCCGGCCACAGGCAGUGGGCUUCACAGCCAGGACCUGCUGCCUCGGGGUGGGGUGCCAGCUCUCUUAGGUCUCUGGUUUCCUCAUCUCUGAAGGAGAGGGGGUUAGAAGGCAGUGGACCAGUGAUCUCCGGGACCCCCCACCCACUCUAAAAACCUAGCGAACAAACCAACCAACUAAGCACAGAUGACCACUGAGGCAGCCAGAAGGAACCAGAGCUCCACAGGCCCUCAGAUGACCCUGAUCCUGCACUGCCCAUUUCACAGAUGGGGAAACUGAGGCCCUGAGGGCUGGAGACAGGGGCCAAGGUCACACCCACCGUUGGGGCUGAACGGGGGCUGGAGCCAGGUCUCCAGAAGGCUGCUGCCUGACUCGAGGCCCAGAGCACUCGUUGAGAACUCUCUCUUCUGACUGACAAGCCCAAGGAGUGGACAGUGUGCCCUGCCCCCCACCAGGAGGCUAAUAGGGGCCCAAGCUGGACACCUAGGGACCUCCGUCCCCUCCUCUGAUGAAACAGGAUCCUUGCCUUCCCAGCACUGACAUCCUGUGCUUCUCCUGCCUCACAGAAUACGCAGAACUGACAGGCUACUGCCCCGUUUUACAGAUGGGGAAACUGAGGCCCAGAAGCCAGCAGUAACACAGAUUUUUGGCCAAGACGGAGAACUGGGACUCUUUCCUCUCAUGGCAGGGACUUUGGCCGUGGUUCCUCCAGAGGGGCAGGAGCCCUCCAGGCAGUCUGGAGCAGUGGGGUCGCUCAGGGCUGCCCCUGACGCUGUAGGCUGUGCUGACCGCCCCGCUCAGCCUCUCUAACCAAAACCACCAGCCCCGGGGAUCUCCGAGCCCCCAGCCCCCAUUUCUUAACCUGGUAGGAACGACUCUGUCUCCACCCACAGGAUGGCCCAGAGAAAGGGCCGGAAAGGCAGAAGCAGCCACACAGCUGCGGCCCUGGACGGCCAGCACAGACGUGCGGUCAGUCCUUGGCCCUCUAACUGUCCUCCUUCCCCAACUUCCCAUUCUGUGUCCUUGGCCCCAUUCUGUCUCUUUGGCCGUCCCUCGGGCAUCAGGCCCAGUUUGAUCAAACCCUUGUUUACAGGCACAGCCACUCUGACGCUUCCUCCUGAGAAACUGGCAGAAAGAAAGCCCCAGAACGGAGGAGCACGAGCAGGUCCAGGGUCACGCUGACGGGGUGGCUGGUUAAGCGCCAUUGUGCAGCCUCUUGUCUGGGCCUCGGCGCUCCCGACACGCACACAAGGGCAAGGGGCCCGCGUCAGCCCCGGAGGGAACACACACACACACUCCGCUUCAGAGGAAGGUAAUUGAGGUUUUCGUCUUUUCAUCUGAAGAAAAGGCACCUUCUAUUGAAAGAAUGUAUUCACAGAACCUGGGAAAACUCAUCUGCACUCAGCCCUCCCAAUUAUCCCCAGGUGGCUGGACUCCAUGGGGGCCCCCCACAUUCCUUUCUGCCUGCGUCUUUGUUUCCAUCUGAAACGGCCCUGGGAGCUCCCAGGCUAAGAGUCUCCUCCUUAAGCCCCUGCCAAAGACCCUAUUCACUGUGCCGAGAAGCCAGGCAAAAGGUGGGGGGCAGCCUUCCUUUUCCCGACUCCCGGGGUGGGGGACUUAAGAACUCUCCAUCUGGAUUUUUUUUUAAGCCCAAAGAAAUUGGAGAGCAAUUAGGAGAGUCACGACUACCCCCUCCACCAUCCUCCUCUCCCUUAAUGAAUUCCUCUCUCACACACAUCCCCCCAAGGUGGGGCCUCCCAGGGACUCAGCUCCCCAGCACCUGCUCUGCCCACUGGGCUCCACGAUCACCAAGGACUUUGUUGCGAAGGGAGCUGAGAAGGCAAAUAUAGAUAUGUCCCGAGAGUUUCUCACCACAGUCAGUUCCCAAAAGCGUGGCUAGGGGGAUCGGCUUUCCACAGUGAAGAUUAUGAUACGGGACCAAGUGUCUAAAACCAAGAAGGCACUAGAAAUUCCAGGAUGCAUGGGCACCUCAAACUUGGGCCUCUCGGGCACCGGGCAGCUCACCUUGGCACAGAUAAGGCGUCCCUACACCUCUUCUGGAUCCGACUGAACUCGGGACCCCUCUCCCUGGCACUUCUGUUCUGCUGCCAGGCCUGCAGGGUGCCCAGGAGGGGACACUGCUGGGGCCAGGCCUCCUCCCAACAGAGUCUCAAGGGCUCCCUCCAUUCGCACCUUCCCUGGCUCUGAAACACGGACUCAUUCCACGCCAAGGGGGCGAGGCUGCCUCUGUGACAUCCCUUCCCUCAAGGUGCCCCAAAGCACCUGGCUGCCAGGCCUCGAGGUUGCCUGUUGGCACCGGACACUGUAGUGAGAGCCUUCCCCACCUAGUCUCGUCUCUCUCUUUCAAGACAGGAACCCCACACUUGAGAUGGCUUCAUUUGAAAAGAUACAACUCUCUUCCAGAAUCUUCCAUCGGCUCAAACUGGGUAUGGGAGACCAGGAUAUACUUCCUUGUUCCUUCUUUAGGAGAGGGGACAGGGUGACAAGCAGCAGCGGGGAGGGGGACCUCGUUCUUGGGACUCACUCACUUGUUAAAUUCUAGUCUUCUAAAAAGAAGAUGCUCCCAGUGCCCCAGACUUUCCCAAUUCAGCUGACAAUGCCAGUUUCUACACUGUCCACUGUCCUUUAACCCUUUGGGACCACAAUCCGCCUCCCUCUGCAUCACCUUCUGUGUAAAGCCGCCUUUCUCUUUUGAAGGGAAAAUUCAUUAGCAAGCUCAUUAAAGAUGGGCCCUUUUUUUUCUUUCUGGAAGUCAGAUUGCUCAUAAAAAACACAUUUAAGUUACUUCGUGUAAAUGAAUGAACAAGAAACACGUGCAUCGUGUUGCCCUCAAGUCUUGCCAGGUUUUGACAUUAUUUGGAGAAAUGUGCUUACAAAUACAUUUGGGGUUUGAAUAACAACUCAGGAGACACAGGGUCAGGGCCCUAAAAGCUGCCAUCAGCCCCACAAGCCACCUGCAGGUGGGAAAAUGCAGGGGGAGCGAAGGGGCCGGGUUUUCCUUCCCAUGAGCGCAGAGGCGAAGCUGUGCUGGCGGCUCCCUUCCCCACCCACCCAGGUGGAGGCAGGUGGGACAGGCGGCCAGCUUUCAGACAAGACCACCACCUCUUCCCCGACAUCUGUGCCCACCCAGAAGCGCCCAGCUGGAGGCGGGCCCCAGGGAACAGCCUAGCUCAAUGUAGGCCUCCUGCCUGUCUUGCCCAUCGGGGUCUCAUUUCCACCCCUUCCUGCUCAGGGAUGGGCCAAUCCAUCCAAAAAGAAUUUUCCUGAAAACAAUCAUUUCUUUCAUCACUUGAGGACGGCCUUUCUGUAAUUCCUGGGAUGAUCAACUGCGAGGCUGAUUUAUGAUGUUACGUUUCGACUUCUUUAAUUGAGAACUUGAUCUAUUUCUAUUUAUUUUCUGCUCAGUAACACACAAAACCCGAAAUACGUUGUUUGCCUGAGACUGAACAUUCACAAGUGUCUCUGAAAUAGAACUCGGCCCGGCCCAUCCACUGAGGAGGGGGAGGCGUGGGGGUCAGCCGUCUGGGACGGGCUGGGGUCUCGCCUUCACCUUGACUCUGCUCCUCGGCUCAGCCCACCUUGAGCGUGUCCUGAGCUGCCCCUGACGAAGUGUCUAGAAGCUGUGCAGACUAGCUGCACAGAUCUUUCUGGUAAGCUCCAGAUACGACACCCCCCCAGGCGUCCCGCAUCCUGCCUUGUGUAAAGCUCCCCUCCCAGGCUUCUUCCCACGUCACUGUGUUUGCAGGGGGCUCAGCAAAUGCCAGCUACGAAGUAAAUAUCACAGGGCAGAGCGUUCCCGGUGCCCAUUCCUAGGCUGAGCCCUGGGCACACACUCCCCACCUCGACCAGCUCUCCAGAGAGCGAAACCAGCAGACAGAGGCGAAGCCCCGGGUCUGGAUAUCGCGGCCCCUCUCUGCCUGCACUCACGGGUUUUGUUUAAAAAUCAGAUCCCCACCGCAUUUCCAUUUCAGGGGAGAAGGGCAGGGCCGUGCAAGAGCUGUGUCAGAAACCUCCGUUUGAUGAAAGAGCAUCAUGGAAGCUGUACUGGAAACCCAAGACCCCCCGGGGAGGGCAGGGGUCCAGCCGCUCUGCCCCCCGGGCAGCAGGCCGCGAAAGGCUGAGCACCCGGGGGCAGGGGCCCAGCUCUGGCACAGAGCUCGUGCAUCACCUCCUGUCUCAGAGACCCCACGUGUGAGUGUCGAGGGGGGGACGUGGCACUGGACCAAGGGAAGUGCUGGGGCCCACUCGAGGCUCCACACAUGUCCGGGGAAUUGAAUCAGCUUCGUCCCCAGCCUCCAGGGAUUUCUCUCUCCCCUGGACCAGCCUGGCAGCCUACCUGCACUCAUUCACUCACCCUAGUCGCUACUCCAGGAGCAUCAGAUGUGAGGCACGUCAGACACAGAGCCAGCCACACACUAGCACAGCCCCACCCAGUUGUGGACACCCCUCUGCCCCUCCAAGAAACUAGGGCUGGACCCUGCCACGGGCUCAGCCACUGGGACCCCAGAAAGGAAGGUACCUCAGCUGAGCCUCCUCUCCUUCCACCUUGCGUAGCUGCCGCACAGGCCACAUCACUGUGUGGGACCUCCCAGGGCACCCAACUAGACCCUCUGGUCCUUAAGGCAAAGCUGGUCUUAGGCACCCCAGAAGAGCCAACCCCGAGUCCCCACGGCCCCAUGGAUGCAUCUUCACUAAAUGAACCGCAGACAGACAAACGACGAGUCCUGGGGUGAAGCGUGUGGCUGUAACCCUUGGCUUUCUUCUUCUCUACCAUUAGUGAUUUCAUUUAAACAAACAAAAACAUUGCCAUCUCACUGCCAUUUCAGGGGUGAGGAAAGAGGCCGAGAGAAGAACCCACUCAGAAACCACUAUUUGAUUAAAGGACAUCGUGAAACCCCCAGGUGGGAGCAACCAGCACGUUCUCGGGGACUGGCAUCGCCAUGGCUUUGGGAGAAAUGUUUUUCUAGCUAGGGCAGGGCAAUGCACCCCAGUUCACUUUAUUAACAUGCUCAGCAAAGCUUUGUUGACGACCUACUAAGUUAUAGGUCAGUUCUCAAGGAGGCGCCUUACUUACCAUGCCGGGCUGCAGUAUGCCGUCGCCCCAGGUGGCCCCCACACUCGCUGGCUUGGCGAGGCAAGGGUCUGGGCUCCAGGCAGCUUCCAGACCCCCAGACCCCCCGGUGGUAUAGAAGAAGUCACCCUUGGCAGCAGCCCCUCCCCAGGUUAAAUGUGCACAUUCUUGAACAGAGACACAAGCUCAACCUAACAGAAUCGUGGUGUCCCAAGAACGCAAGAAACUCACCCCAAACCAGGAGGUGGCGACGGGCACAGGGUGGGCGUGAGGCGCCAGGCGGCCAUCAGGAAGGACGUGGUCCAGGGUGGGGGUCCUCCGGGGGUUCUUCCAUCCCUUCCGUCCAGUUCUUCAGCCAACCCGACCAAGUUGCAGCCCAUGUCCCAAGGACGGGGCCGACCUUGGGGAGGGACAGAAAGUUAGAAAGAUCGAAAGACAAGCACCCCAGAAAAACCACCAACACCCCAAGAAAAAGCACAGAGCCCAAUCUCACCUGUGGUGUGGUUGUCAGUGGAGGGAGGUGGCUCGUGGGGACGGGCCAUGGGCAAGGGAUGCAACAGGCCCAGGUGGCAGCCCCCAUGAGCCCUGGGGCAGGGCACAGCCCAGGACUCACAGGGACAGGGCGGCAAUACGGGCAGGCCAUGGGUGACUCCUGUUAGGACAUGACGACAAGGGAUCUGGACGGAGGGAGGGGACAGGACAGGUCUCGCUGCAUCCCACGGUCACUUAGACCCUAGGAAGUCAGUCCCACGGCUGGAAGCAUUUGAGGAUGGCUGGGGGAGGUGGCAAGGCAGCAGGCAGGCCAGGUAACCACAGACGUGGGCUCAGCAAGGAAAAGCAACCCGUUAGGCAGAGGGCGAGACAGCGGAGCCCAGGGCAUGAGCCAGGUGACUCGGCACAGAGGAGGGGGAAGUGGGCCAGGCUGAGCAACAGACUAUGGCAAGCAGCCUCAGGUGGGCAGUCCACCUGACCGGUGGAGAGCCAGGGGAGGGGCCGCCAGGCAGAGCAGAACAGAGCAGGUGGGCAGCCGGCAGAAGCGGAGCCUGCAGAGCUCCCCCGAGGGUCCUAGCCAUCUGUCCUUUGCAUGAGACAGGCCCCAGCCAAUGCCUGGGGGGCAAAGGAGCUGGUUUUAGCCCCAGUGAAGGAAGGCAUCUUGGAGGGAGGGGUCCAAAUCACACACCUCAACUCAAGAGGGAGACCUUUGUGGCCAGAGCCCGAAAGGACACACACCACACUGUCCUAUAUUCCCACCUUGGUCCUGAGUUCAGGGCCAGGGGUCCAGGACAGUCAUCAGCACUCAGCGACAGGAUGGAGUGCGGGAGGCAGAGAGAGCAGGCGGGGCUGGCUCGGACCAGCGGCAAGCACAGGCAGUCUGAGGUUCCUCUGGGGUUUGAAUUAAAGGUUCCAAAGGAAGUCCAGCCAGGCCCGCCCCUCGCACCGUCCUGCAUGCCUACUACAGAGCGGGGAAUCCACCGCUCCAGCGCCUGGGACAGCCGUGAGGCCGCCUGUGGCAGAAGCAACCCCCCGGCCUGCCCUCCCAGGGGUGGCAGAGGCCAUCAAGGGACGCGCUAGCGUGGCGGGUGCCCAGCCCGUGCCGGGCUGUGGGCUUGCUGAGUAAGGAUCAACUGUUGAAUGACGGGAUGAACGCAUGAGUGAAUGAAGGCGUGAGACCAGCAAGACCCCACUCAAACGGGGCUGAGGAUGGGGCGACACCCAUUCCGCAGUCAAAGCAAACGGCCCCUCCACCCUUUUGACCUCAAACUCCUUGCACCCCGAUGCCUCCCGUCUAGCAGCUCAGGUGUGGUGGCCGAGUUCCUUCAUUGACUCACCUGUCCAAACAGACAUCCCACAUACUCUUACUGAGCCCCACUUUUUUGCCAAGCUGGUACUGGGACACCCCAAGGAGGUGUGGGCUGGCCUAGGGUACCCCCAGAGGAUGGGGUUAGGACAUGAUGGAGAAGCAGGGGAGACGAAGGGGAGAUGGAGAACAGAAACGGAGGCAGGAAAAGCAGAAAAACAGAAACUCAGAAUUGGGGGCAUCUCCUGGCCUCACUCCUCUGGUUUCCCAUCUGCUUAAGCUGCCUCCUCCCACAUCUCCUGAGCCUCCAGGACUGACUUAAUGACGGAUCUUGAGACCAGUGGGCUCCAGGGGUCAGGUGACCAACACGGGAAGCCUACAGUGGGCUGGAGAUGUGGUGCAGGGGUCCUGAGUCCACAGGCAGCUGAGAGCCGCGUCCAUCCCAGGCAUGAAAGGGGUGCCACAGAACCAAGAAGGCAAGUUAAAAGGGGCAACCCCCCCACUCAAGGAGGCAAUCAGCUCAGAUUCUCUGCUGGUGGCCUCAGGAAAGUUUAAGACGACUGCCUGCUUUCCAGAAACCCAAGCAGGAGUCCGGCUGGGAGUUUCACCAUGUGGCAGGCGCUGUUAGGGUCCUGGGAGUAAGCACACCCUGAAGAUCCUGGCCGACUCAUGCCUUCCACCCCCUCCCCAGGUUCUCAAAUGCUGGCAUAUUAAUGGCUUUGGGGCUCAUCUUUUAAUUAUCAGUGGUGUUUGAGGGUGGGAAGGGUCCUGUGAUUUUGUUCCUAUUUAAAAGUCCUCACUUAGCAACCCCCAGAACUGCUCUUCUUUCACUCUUCAAUGACUGCGUGGGGUAGUGGGGUAGGUUUCUGUGGGAUCACCAUUUUCAGAGGUGCUCAACCUCAUCCUGGUUCCUAAUCCGGGCGACCUCUGGGUCACCUCCACCCAAAGGGGUGGAAUCACCCCACCCAGCCACCUAGACAUCCUUCGAGAUUUUUUGGGGAUGUUGGACAAGAGUUGGUUUUGCUAACUUGGAAAACAUGUCUAAUUCUGACCCAUGAUGCCAGGGAACCUUUAGCCAAGAGAUAAGUUAAGGGAGGAAGUUUUCUACUAAUAAAAUUUUCUGGCUCCAACCACCUCGCUUCUCCCUUAGUUUUCUUCCACUUGGCUGAAAGUCUGGCUAAAGCUGGAAUUAAAGUUUAAUUGGAGUGAUCUGAUCUUGAUUGAUCUGCCUUGGGGUGAGAAAUGUCCACAAUUCGGGACACAUAAGGGCAGACUUGAGGCACACCUGCUCUAGAGACAAGAAUGGGCUCUGGGGAGCUCAAGGGUCAGGACAGAAGGGGGAUUCAGGCGGGCUGCAGGACACAUGGGAGAGGGCGACGUUGGGGCGUGAAAGGAGCGUCUACAGGUUCUGAUGCCCGAUCUGAGCUGUAAUGUUCCCUCUGGCACUUGGUUCGCUGAGUGAUCCUAACACACUGCUGGACUCUGAACCUCUCUAACAGCAUUCGGGAGCCAAACAUGGACCCUAAAGCACACCCUUCCAGGGGGUGGCCCUCUGGGGCACCAACAUCCAUCCAUUUCUUGACCUAAGUGGAGCAUCCCAUGGGUGUUGACUUUGUGAUAAUUCCACCGGUUCUACCCCUAUGACAUGGCACCAUUCUACCUUUGGUAAUCUUGAGUAAGUGUGAAUGUUCAGUGGUCCUGGAACAAGUCAGGUGCGUGCCGGACGGGGAAAUGUGUGCUCUCAGUCCUCAGCCCUCGGAGAAGGAACCCAAGAGGUGUGACUCGCCCUUGCCCUGGGUAUAGGGUCGAACAAAGAAACUUUCCACAAAGCAGCCCUAUCUGCAGCCCGCUUCCCAAAGCUGCCUUCAACUUUCAACCCCGCUCAAUGGACUGCUCGCAGGGAUGGAGGCAAAGACUUAAAGGGGGAGCAAAUGAAACCUCAGCUCCAGCCCCAAAAUUAGAAGUGUGGGCGAAGAAGCGAGUGGCCCUGCCCUGUGGACGCCAGUUCACCUCAUUAUGAUAAUCAGUGUGUUUUUCCUUUGCAGACAAAGAAGGCUCCUUAUGAGACGAAUAUUGGAAUCCAGCGGCUACCUCAUUAACGUCUGCAGCCUCCUCCUUGACAGGGCCUAAGAUUAGCCCUGUGUUCAUUAAGGGAAAAGGGCGGAAAGUGGAAUAAAACUGAAAAACACAGCUGGGGGGAGGGGUGGGCUCUUUCUGUCAGCCAUUCAUUCAUUGAAAGACUCCUGUGCACCUUGGGGAUUUAAUCACCAGCAAAGGGGGGGCAGGGGGGUCUAACCAGGAUGCAGGAGGUAAAGAGGUUAAACUUGAUAGAAGGAGUUAAAAACCCAAAAUGGGGCAAUUUGAUUUGAAAGCUUCCUGGGAUUUGUCACUGGGAUAAUCAAUUUAAAACCUUUUUCCUGUUUACUUUCUUUCAGCCGAAACUGAAAACCUUUCUCUGGAUGUCUUUUUUGGUAGAUUUUAAUAUUCUCUAAACCUCUCCCCCCUACUUUUUUGUCUUUAGUGGGUUUUUCUGUAAAUUCUUUUCUUCUUUCUCUCCCACUCCCCCCCCCCCCCCCCGCCCCUCUCCACCUCUUUCUUCUCGCUUUGGUCCUCCCCAUGGGAACGGUUUCAACCUGUAAGGAAAUCUAAUGGGGACUCCAAUUAUAUUUUCUCCUGAAUACCUGAUUGACUUUAUUUUAAGUCUUUCAAAUCGUCUCUGGUUCUUACCUGCAAGAUAGCCCACCUCACCUGCCAGGUAAAGACGAUUAACCCUAUUUUACAACUGAGAAAAAGGUGGCUUGGGAAAACUGACCUACCUCAAGGCCCCAGCACUAAGUGGGCUAGCCAAGGCUCGAACCCAGGGCGAGAUGGCAAGAGGCAGCUUCCAGACAUUAGGAGAUCCGGAUAUGCAAGUUUCUGGGAAAACUAAGAAAUGAGGGAAGCCAGGAGCAGGUGUCCCCGUGAGGUCUACAGGGAGUGUGUCAACAGAAGUGAACCGGAGCCGAAAAGCUAUGUAAGAGAAAGAAUGAGUCCCUGUGUCCAAGAGCCAGACACGUGGCCAAGGUGAAGCUCCAGAAAAGUUAUUACCUUAGUGAGAGCCGCUCGAUGGAGUAGAGCAAGUCAGGAGGCAGUGGGUUGAAGAGGAAAUUGGAGGUGAGGAAGGAAGACAGCAAGUGAAGACAGGCCUUUCGAGAAGCUUGGCUGCGAAAGGAAAGAGAGAAACGGUAGUGGCUAGAAAGGAGGACAGAAGGGACCUGGGAGGCUGUGGAGAGAGCAAAGUUAGGAAUUCAGAGGAUAACCGAUGGUGGGAGGUCCAGGGCUGAGAUAGGAGGGACCAGAGCAGAGGGCACCCCUUCCUUUACAAGGUGAGAGGCGAUGGGGGUACACAUGUACGGUGGGACCCCAAUCUGAAAGGCCGCUUGAUGGCUCUGUUCCCCUAGAAGGUGCAGGCCAGCCCCGGGCCGGGACAGGGAGUUGUGAGGUUCAAAUGAAUUGUCGGUUGCCAGAAAGGGCUCUGCAUACUACACAGGAGACAGAAACGGGCACCGUAAUUACUCACUGGUAGCGGGACGCUCAAUUUUACAGCCCACUCCAAUCUCACCGGGGCCUGGACUUUCACUGACCAUAAAUUAUGCGUCCUUACAUUAAGGAUGUAAAAACCAGUGGUAAAAGCUCCUGCCAGCCUCUGGAAGACAAAAGGUGGCCUCCUAAUAGCCUGGAUUAACUCAAAGCAGAUCUCCGCCCACUUCAUUUGUCACCUUCCAAGUCAUCCUUCCACCUUCAUUUGCCACAUAAUCCAAUCAGGCCCUUUCAGAUGCCUGGGAGCUAUUGUCCACACCAAGCUGGGCUUCUGCAAGGCGGCCUGAGUUGUUUUUGUCUUGUCCGGACAAAACUGGUUGGCUUAAAAGGGGACGAAAGAAAGUGCUGGUCAAAUGAGGACCCCAAUUAGCUUCCAAGAGACUGUUUUCAUCAUCUUUGUAUCACAUCCCAGGCCUGGUGUGCUGGGCAUAUUGUCAGGGUUCCAGAAAAUGUUUGUUGAAUUAAUUCCGUUUUUAUUUCUUCUGGAAUUUACUUAUGGAGUGCAAACACACACAGCACCUACUGGGUGCUGGCUGUUACUACUGCGGGAGAAGAGGGCUGGGCAUGUGAAGGACGGAGGACAGCCUCCGGGGGAUAAGUAUCUCGCAAUUUCCACAGCAAUUUACAAAGCACUUUCAUAGCAGUUACAUCAUUUGGUCUUCAAAAGCGCCCUGUGGGGUAGAUAAACGCGGAGGUUUUUUUUUUUUUUUUUUUUUAAUCCCCAUUUAGACCAUGAAAGGAACUGAGACUCGGAGAAGUUAAGCGACUUGUUUAAGGUCACACUGUUACUGGGAGGUGGAGCCAGCACAGGGUACCAGCUCUGGGGCCACCCAGACCCCAAGACCACCCUGGGCAGCUGGGAUUUCAAAGAGACUGUCCCUUUGUCAAAUGUCUGACUGGACGUCAAAGGGCUUUUAAUAUAACUCUGGGCUAGGGGGUACAGGGCGGCUACAAUGGCACCCAGGAUCCAACUAUGACCUCUUCUCUUGCCAGCAGUGUGACAAAAUACUUACAUCCCUCCAGCCUCGGCGUCCAUCCUCACUGCCAACGUGGGUGACCCCUAUCCCGUGGGAGGGGCACUCAGCUUUCAUGAGUCCUCUUCCCCACCCACCUUUUGAAAAUUACUCAAAUCAAUGACAAAUUCAUUCUCAUCUGUAAAUGAGGCCGCCUCAUACACAUACUCCUAUGACAUAGAAAGAACAUUCAUCUACAUAGAAAGUGCUCUGGAAAUGACCGCAUGCAUAAUUCGUAUUCCUUCAGGUCAGCCCAGGACCCUCUGGUGGAGCCCCUACCUGAUGCAAGGAGAGCCUGGGGGACAGGGGCUGUCCGGAGUGCUGUGGGAGAACAAGUACGACAAGUGAGAGAGGUAGGAAUGGAUUGACCUGCCAAAUUUUUUCAACAAACAUUUGCUGACCGCAUCCUCUAUGCCCAGCCCUGCCCAAGGCUGCCUUCUCUCAUUUAAUACUCACAACAACCCUAGGAGGUUGCACUUCUCAUCCCCAUUGCCCAGAAAGGACGGGGGAUCUCGAAAGAGGGGAGCAUGCCUUUGGCAGUUCAGUAGCAUGACAUGAGGGCUCAUGCUCAUUCCACAAGCCCACCCUGGGCCUUGGAAUCGCCAGUGAGAUGCUAGAGGAGCCUCUGGCCUAGGUCCCCCUCCUGAGGAGUUCCCAAAGGGAUCUUUCCGUUCAGGACAUCAUAAGGGCAACAGCAGGGUCAGUGGAGAAAGACUGACGCCACCCUGAGGGAAGCGCUCCAGGUCGCCGGCACAUUAACACAGCAGAGACUUAUGGGAAAGUAUUCACAGAGACCAAGCACAAGCGUAGCAAAGAUCAGGGGUUAGCAGCCAGUGCCCCCUCACUAGGGCACUGGUUCAAGCCUUUAGCCAAGAGGGACAGCUGGCUUGUCAGUCCUGGUCCUCUUCAUCCCUCGUCGUCCUGGUCCUGGGGGUCUCUGCCAGCGGCUGCUUUGUAUGCUGGGGGGAUCCAGGAAUCGGUGCUCCUAGUGUCCUCUGCAAUUGAUCAAAGGUUAGAGGAGCCACUUAAAAGCCCAAGUCUACAUAUUAAUUAAAAUUUAAAUGAAUUAAUCACAACUAAAACUAAUUAGUUAAAAUUUAACAUUGUCUUUUAAUUGCUAAUGGGUCUGGGGGCGGUGCAAGGAGGGUGGCAGGGAUGGGGAAUUGUGCCCACCAUGUUGGGUAUAAACAGCCACAGGAGGGGUUAGGUACCAUGAGGUGGAGACGAGCCGCAAGCAGCUUGGCAACAGCUUGGCAUGGAGAGGUGGUCCUUGAAGACAAGGCGAACGGAUGAUGUCAUCCCUGAAGAGAGGCCCUAUGGCACCGGAGGGGGCCAGAUUAGAAACCAUCUUAAUGACCUCUAACGGCCAGCACAGGAACAGCAGAGAGAGGGAGGGGACAGUCAGAGGGAGAGGGAGGGGGGAGUAGGAGAGAGGAGGGAGGUGGGAGGGGUUGAGAGGGAAGAGGGAAGGGUAUGGAGAGAGGAGGCAGGAGGGAGGAGGGGGAGGGAACGGGAGAGAGGAAGGGGAGGGGAAAGUAGGAAUGAGGAAAACGGGAGGGGAGGGGGAAGAGGAGAAACGGGAGGGGGAGGAGGGAGAGAAGCGGAAGGGGGAGGAGGGAGAGAAGUGGGAGGGGGUAAGGAAGACUUGACUGACAGGGCACAAGUGUUAGCUGUGUGCGCAUGCGCAACCUGAAGGCCCGUUUAGCGGGCCGAGAGCCAUUUGCAGGCACAGACCGCUAGGGGGCGUCCGGCCAGCAUCCAGAGCCCAAGAGCACAGCCACCUGCGGCGCGCGCCUCGCCGGAGCCUCCCGCGCCCCCGCCCGCGCCUGGCCCGCAGCUGCCAGGGACACAGCUGGCGUAGGAUGGGCGGGGGGCUGCCCAACAGGUCUCUGGCCGGGAGGGGGGGGCACAGCCCACCCCAGCCCAUCACGCAGGGCCACCAUGUCCCCUAAACGCCACGCCCGCCAUCACUAGCCAGAAUCCACCUGUGGACUUCGGGCAGCACUACCUCACAAGCCCAGGGGGCCUUCUGCGCCCCCCUAACUGUGGGGGGGGGGGGUCAACCUACACCAGAGAGACACUCGCCAGAAGGAUCUUUCCAGAACACGAUUCCACUUUUAAUAAGCAAAAACAGAGAGAUCUUGGUCCCGACCUUCGGUAAAUCCAAUUAAAGAUAAAUUAAUUAAAAUUAUAAAGGGCCAGUUCUCAAUACACCGUUUUCACUCACUUUUGUGGUCUCAGGACACAUGAUACAAAAUAUGACAACCUUAGAAAAUAUAAAGACGGCCAAAAUCGUCUAAUAUCAUCCAGACAACCAACGACCCCCCCCCAAAUCUCGCCUCCAUUCUUCGCCAAGACCCCUCACGAUAGCGCCUAAUUAACCAUUUUACCAGCCCUCUUCAGCCUACUCAAAUGAGCCACGUCUUCCUAAGACCCCCUAAACCAUCAUCCAUUGAAAUAAACUGAUCUGCGUCCACGCUCUUCCACGACACCCUAAGUCGCGCAACCAACGCGGAUCACGGCAUCUCUGCUCAGCGCGAAUCCUGCAGCCUCUCUUCCCCGUGAACCCUGGCAUCUUAAAACAUUUCCCCCUUAGGUAAAUGAAUCCAGAAUUCUCCAGUAAAU